GAAUAUAGGUGCUUAGUAAAUACUAAAUAAAAACAUAAAUAUUUUAUUCGUAUUAAUAAUAAUCGAGUUACAUCCUUUCCUGGAACAUGAUAAUUAUUAGAUCCCCAUACAUCAACUUUCUUUCAAUAGAUUGCAUUACGCACCAAAUUCAAAGGUGAUCAACUUUCUCCGUCUGUGGACUGUUGCUGUUGUUUUGUGAAGAAAGAUGAAACAGGAUGAUGAUGUAUCGGAUCUGGACCAGAAGGUGACUCUCUGUCAAUGGACGGAGCCGCCAAUCCAUUAUAGUUGAUUUUGCUUCCCUCCGUGGACUCUUGUUUUGCGAAGAAAGAUGAAACUGCAGGAUGAUGAUGUAUCGGAUCUGGGCCGGAAGGAGACUCUCUGUCAAUGGACGGGGCCGCCAAUCCAUUAUAGUUGAUUUUGCUUCCCUCCGUGGACUCUUGUUGUUCUGCGAAGAAAGAUGAAACUGCAGGAUGAUGAUGUAU
rnacentral:lncRNA from 1 species